GCAUUGGUGGUUCAGUGGUAGAAUUCUCGCCUGCCACGCGGAGACCCGGGUCCGAUUCCUGGCCAAUGCA
rnacentral:tRNA from 1 species